GAUGAACGCUGGCGGCGUGCCUAAUACAUGCAAGUCGAGCGAACAGAUGAGGAGCUUGCUCCUCUGACGUUAGCGGCGGACGGGUGAGUAACACGUGGAUAACCUACCUAUAAGACUGGGAUAACUUCGGGAAACCGGAGCUAAUACCGGAUAAUAUAUUGAACCGCAUGGUUCAAUAGUGAAAGACGGUUUUGCUGUCACUUAUAGAUGGAUCCGCGCCGCAUUAGCUAGUUGGUAAGGUAACGGCUUACCAAGGCAACGAUGCGUAGCCGACCUGAGAGGGUGAUCGGCCACACUGGAACUGAGACACGGUCCAGACUCCUACGGGAGGCAGCAGUAGGGAAUCUUCCGCAAUGGGCGAAAGCCUGAUGGAGCAACGCCGCGUGAGUGAUGAAGGUCUUCGGAUCGUAAAACUCUGUUAUUAGGGAAGAACAAAUGUGUAAGUAACUAUGCACGUCUUGACGGUACCUAAGCAGAAAGCCACGGCUAACUACGU
rnacentral:rRNA from 1 species